CUCCCCUCCAAUUUGAAAUCAAAUCUCUAAACUUAUUUAAAGAGUUCAAAUCAUUUAUCACCUGAAUCAUUAUUAAUUAAUUUUUUAAUUGUAAGGUGCUGCAGUGUACUAGUCCUUUCGAAAAUUUAAAAAGACAAUUAGCUUGUAUGGUGCUCUUCGAUUUUUUUUUUUAUUUCAUCAAAAUAUAACUAAAGCAAAUGUGU
rnacentral:lncRNA from 1 species